UACUGGGAGAUGCUGGAGCAGCCUCAGAGCCACGGCCGGCCCACAGCGGGAGAUGGCCCUGCUGCUGCCCCUCCACCCGUGCGUGUGGGCCUGUGUGCACCUGCGUGUGCUGGGGCAGGCCGGGCUGUGUUGGGACCAGGUCCCAUAACAGCUUGCCUGCUUACCGUCUGCUCCCAUCUCCGGGGAAAGCAAGGGAGCUUGGGGUCCUAGGACCUGACCUUAGCGCUCACCCCCACCAGCACCGCAGUCACCAGGACUCUGUGACUCAGUUUACCCCACAUGAGAGCCCCUGGGAUUCCCAGGGCAUCAGAAGGCCCAUCAGCCUCCCGUGAACUGCUGGGGUGGGCCUGGCCUUGGGACGCGGGUGCAGGAGCUUCUCCUCACUGCCCCCAUGGCACCCACAGCCAGUGCCCGAGCCUGCUGCAGCCCCGACCCAGCAGAGCAAGUGGCUCUGCUACCUCAGCCACGUAGCUGAUGGCAUCCUUCAGGUUCAGCUCGUGGAAGACAUUCAGGAUCCGGUCUCGAGACUUCUGGGCCGACCGUCUCAUGAGGACCCUGCUGAGGAACUUCCUGUCGAAGUGGGACCACCUGUAGGGACAGAUCUCGGGUGUGAGCCUCAGAAUUAGAGUAUUCGCUGGUUAUCCGGAUCAGAAGGGACGGUGGCCCGGACGAACUUAGCAGAAACUCUGGGGCACAAGGAGGUGAUGCCUCUCACUCUUGGACAUGGGUGCAGCCUCCAGAGCCGCCCCCCGGGGUAGAGGGUGGGCCCGGGUGAGCUUGUGUACUCAUACCUGGGCAGGCCCCGCGGCAGCAAUGGCAGCUCUCCUGUACAGGCUGAGUUUCAGCCACACCAAGAAGUCAAAGCUAACUGAGGCCGUGCCUUCCGAGACCCCCGGGAUGGCCCCUGGGAGGCCAAGGAGUCGGGGACUGGGUACCUGGAGCAGAGUCGCUGCGGCCACGGAAAACCACAGCUGAGCUUUAUGAAGCCACGUAGCCACACCUCCCGGUGCCUCCACCCCAACCAAACACAGAUCGCUCAGAAAAUGGGAACCCAGGGCAAAUUGUAUGUGCUGCUUACUGGGUUUAUUUUAAGUGUCACAUGUUUUUUAUAAUAAAACAUAGGUGAUUUCACCUUAAUGGACAAA